rnacentral:rRNA from 1 species
CUACGGGUCGCUGCAGUGGGGAAUAUUGCACAAUGGAGGAAACUCUGAUGCAGCAACGCCGCGUGGAGGAUGACACUUUUCGGAGCGUAAACUCCUUUUAUAUAGGAAGAAGAUGACGGUACUAUAUGAAUAAGCGCCGGCUAACUCCGUGCCAGCAGCCGCGGUAAUACGGAGGGCGCAAGCGUUACUCGGAAUCACUGGGCGUAAAGAGCGUGUAGGCGGAUUAAAAAGUCAGAAGUGAAAUCCUAUAGCUUAACUAUAGAACUGCUUCUGAAACUCUUAAUCUAGAAUAUGGGAGAGGUAGAUGGAAUUUCUGGUGUAGGGGUAAAAUCCGUAGAGAUCAGAAGGAAUACCGAUUGCGAAGGCGAUCUACUAGAACAUUACUGACGCUGAGACGCGAAAGCGUGGGGAGCAAACAGGAUUAGAUACCCUAGUAGUC